ensembl:snoRNA
UUGCGAUGAUGAGCAUCGAUUAUGUCUGACCUGGUAUUGUGUCUCCUCCGGGAACAGCUCUGACCAGGGCCUGAGGACCUAAUCUUCUCUCUGAGCAA